AGUCGAGCGGACAGAUGGGAGCUUGCUCCCUGAUGUCAGCGGCGGACGGGUGAGUAACACGUGGGUAACCUGCCUGUAAGACUGGGAUAACUCCGGGAAACCGGGGCUAAUACCGGAUGCUUGAUUGAACCGCAUGGUUCAAUUAUAAAAGGUGGCUUUUAGCUACCACUUACAGAUGGACCCGCGGCGCAUUAGCUAGUUGGUGAGGUAACGGCUCACCAAGGCAACGAUGCGUAGCCGACCUGAGAGGGUGAUCGGCCACACUGGGACUGAGACACGGCCCAGACUCCUACGGGAGGCAGCAGUAGGGAAUCUUCCGCAAUGGACGAAAGUCUGACGGAGCAACGCCGCGUGAGUGAUGAAGGUUUUCGGAUCGUAAAACUCUGUUGUUAGGGAAGAACAAGUACCGUUCGAAUAGGGCGGUACCUUGACGGUACCUAACCAGAAAGCCACGGCUAACUACGUGCCAGCAGCCGCGGUAAUACGUAGGUGGCAAGCGUUGUCCGGAAUUAUUGGGCGUAAAGCGCGCGCAGGCGGUUUCUUAAGUCUGAUGUGAAAGCCCCCGGCUCAACCGGGGAGGGUCAUUGGAAACUGGGGAACUUGAGUGCAGAAGAGGAGAGUGGAAUUCCACGUGUAGCGGUGAAAUGCGUAGAGAUGUGGAGGAACACCAGUGGCGAAGGCGACUCUCUGGUCUGUAACUGACGCU
rnacentral:rRNA from 2 species